GUUAAUUCACCAUUCAUGGCAUUCCUAGUUACCAAGACUCUAUUCAGACCAACAACUGAGGACAAUGCCUUAGUAACCAAGGAACACUAAUCUAAGGAACUAUCAGUGACUGUUCGGCAGCUAAACAGUAUCUGAGAAGCCUGGAUUUAGCGGUACAUUUGGAGGCAAAUCUUCAACUAUAAAUAUAAAAAAUAUACUAUUAAGAGGCCUCCCUCAAAGCAGGCAAUUUAUGUCACGCUGAAAGACGCAAUUUUCCGCUGGAUCCCGUUUGAUGGCAUUCAUACCCAGGUUGUGUCCUUCUGGUGGGGCAAUCUGUAAUACCCCCUGCCCUACACCCGCUUUCAAGGAAGAAUCAUUGGCUGAGUUGCUUCCGAUUGUCUGCAUGUCAGUGGUGUUAACUGCCACGUAUCCUCAAUUUACUCAGCGAGAACUGGAAUUGAAAAUAAGAAGUGGAGUGAUUCAAAAGUGGCCUCUCCUCCAAAACCGGCCUGAAAAAGCAGAGGAAUUUCCAGGGCUUGAUCGUAAUGUCCUCACGACCGACUCGAAAGGACACGCAGCGUUUGGGAAACCUACCCAGGGAUACUUUAGAGACUUGUCACAUUUACAGAAGCAGCUUGUUUCAGGAAACCCAAAUGGGGGGCAGCUCGCUACAUGCCCCUCAGGAAUGAGAUCAGCCGUGAGAUCAGCCAAGUCAAAUUAUCAACUGGACAAACCCAAUCCCACCCAGAAAACAAUACAGAAGACAAGAUAUCAGUUGUUCCCCCCACUAACGGAUGCCUGGACCCAACAAGAUGCAAUGCAGAGGUCACUCAGAUUAAGAAUUUAAUGCAGCAGGAGAUGCAUUGCUAGAAUUUGUAUUAUUAAAAGAAACAGGUUCAUAUUAUAUCUUAAUUUGCUUCCACGAGAGAGAGAGACUAAAAUUAGCACAUUUACGUCUUCCAGAAAGCUUGAAUGAACUAGCGGCUUGGAAACGAAAGAUCUACUUAUUCAGGGGCCACUGCUUAGGGCCUCUUUUGGUCUAAUGGGAUCCUUGGAGGGUCAAGCGGAGAUGCAGAAUAGUUGAAAACGAUAUAAUGCUGUAAUAUAGUUUUCUUACAAAUAAAGCUCUUUCGUUUAUGCGUAA